rnacentral:rRNA from 1 species
AUUGAACGCUGGCGGUAUGCUUAACACAUGCAAGUCGAACGGUAACAGGCCUUCGGGCGCUGACGAGUGGCGGACGGGUGAGUAACGCGUAGGAAUCUGCCUUAUAGUGGGGGACAACGUGGGGAAACCCACGCUAAUACCGCAUACGCCCUACGGGGGAAAGGAGGGGAUCUUCGGACCUUUCGCUAUGAGAUGAGCCUGCGUUAGAUUAGCUAGUUGGUAGGGUAACGGCCUACCAAGGCUGAGAUGGGUAGCCGGCCUGAGAGGGUGAACGGCCACACUGGAACUGAGACACGGUCCAGACUCCUACGGGUGGCAG